UACAGAGGUCUCAAGCGUUGUUCGGAUUCAUUGGGCGUAAAGGGUGCGUAGGUGGCGCCGUAAGUCGGGUGUGAAAUUUCGGAGCUUAACUCCGAAACUGCAUUCGAUACUGCGGUGCUUGAGGACUGGAGAGGAGACUGGAAUUCAUGGUGUAGCAGUGAAAUGCGUAGAGAUCAUGAGGAACACCAGUGGCGAAGGCGGCUCACUGGACUGGUACGGACGCUGAGGCGCGAAAGCGUGGGGAGCAAACGGG
rnacentral:rRNA from 1 species